AGAGUUUGAUCCCUGGCUCACGAAGAACGGCUGCGGCACGGCUUAACACAUGCAAGUCGAACGGUUGUAGCAAUACAGCAGUGGCAGACGGGUGAGUAACACGUGGGAAACCGUUUCCUAGGGGUACGGAACAACUACAGGGAAACUUGAGCUAAUACCGUAUACGUCCGUGAGGAGAAAGAUUUAUCGCCCUUAGACGGGCCCGCGUAGGAUUAGGUAGUUGGUGAGGUAACGGCUCACCAAGCCUACGAUCCUUAGCUGAUCUGAGAGGAUGAUCAGCCACACUGGGACUGAGACACGGCCCAGACUCCUACGGGAGGCAGCAGUGGGGAAUCUUGGACAAUGGGCGCAAGCCUGAUCCAGCCAUGCCGCGUGAGUGAAGAAGGCCUUCGGGUUGUAAAGCUCUUUUACCAGGGACGAUAAUGACGGUACCUAGAGAAUAAGCCCCGGCAAACUUCGUG
rnacentral:rRNA from 1 species